rnacentral:lncRNA from 1 species
UUAGAAUCUGGAAAGCUGACCAUAAGGGAAUUUUUCAGAGCUAAUAAGAGUGCUCACAUCUCUGAAACUUUUAGCUGGCUUGCAUUGAAAGUUCAUUAUAUGGCCAGUUUGUUGGAAGGGGUUACUGGUUUUGUUUUAUUCUCUUAUCCGCAUGUAUUUUGUGUUCUCAUGUUGUAUUUUUAUGUUCUGAACCACCCUGUGAUCUUCAGGUGAAGGGUGGCAUAUAAAUUUAAUUAAUGAUGAUGAUGAAACAUAAUAACAAAAUGGUACACCAUGCCAAUAUUCUGUUGGGUUUCCCAAUACACAGGUCAGUAUUGCAACUACAAAAAGGCAGGUUUUCAGCUGGUCCCUUAGCUGGUUGAUGCAUUGAUGGUAGCAGCCUUUCCUUUCUGGAGGCGGUUGCCAGGCAACAGCUCCUUCCCAGGUCCACGGAGGAAAGGGAGCAGGGCUGAGCGGGUGGAACUUAUCCAGCCCAUGUUAGAACUUCAGCACGCAGCAGCUUUAUAAUAUCCCUGCACGUGUCGAUCUGGUGCCUAUGGUUGCAUUUCAAAUUAUUUCCAUCCACCUACCUCAUGGGUGCCGCUAUGUGCAUCAUGCCUAGGUGUGUGUAUAUCUUGGGACUCUUAUAACACAGAUGGAAACACGGCUAUUUCUGUUCAAAUGUGACUUGGGGACCUUUCUUACUAUACGUCUUCAGCACUCCCUUCCCCUGUAAAUCGUUGUCCAGCCUAUUGAGACUUAGGUCGCCUGCACAAGAAAUGCACCACUCUGUUCCGUACAGCACCUAGCAUAUUGUUUUACAUGCACGUUAGACCAAAAGUAGUCUUGGCUAGCCGACCUAACCGGAAGAGUCCGCGACCAAAAGGAGGAGGAGUAUCAGGAAGAGUGGAUUAAAUUUAAUGAUUACUUAGUUAAAUAUGUUAAAUUAACUGAAAACAGCUUGCAGAUACUUACCGUAAUUGGCUUAGGAUUUUAUUUAUGUUAAGUGAUGAAUUAAUAUGUUUAAUUUCAUAAUGUGAAGAUCUAAGGAUGUUAAUGUUUAAGUUAAAUUUUAUAAGAACUGUGAUUUGGAAAACCGCUAAAAGGAUAUGCAAUGAAAUUCAACCAAAGGGAAGCAAGGAAGUCACUUAACAAUGUUAAUAAUUUUCAAUAAGGCUAUGAUUUAUGUUUGUUUGACUUAUGUGUUUGUUUGUUUGUUUGUUUGUUUAUAAUGUUGUGAAAACCAAUAAAAGAAUUUGGGGUGGGGGGAAAGUAGUCUUGGCAAUAUGCAAUUGCUGGAUUCUGUUCAGUCAUGAGUUUGCUAAGGGGAGAGAAUGAUACUGAGGAAAGACAGCCAACGGGCAUAGGGCAACUGUUGAAACUGGAUACAAGUUAAAACCCUAUUCGUUAACCUCUUUGGAUCACAUAAGCCUAACAUGGGGCUGUUGGAGUAAAAUAAGAUUCUGCCACUCUGGUCAUUUUAGAAGAUGCUGAAGGACAAGAACGUGACAAAUCGAUGAUUUGCCAGCCUUCCAGUAUUUACUCAGCUUUUUCUUCUGAAGUUACAUCUCCAAUCAAUGUCUCUUUUAUAUGCGACUAAGACAUGUUCUCUCAGGAGAGAAAAGCAAAGUGUUCCAGGUAAUUGCAUCUUAACAGCAGAAGAACAUUAUACUUAAUGUUUGUGGAUACUGGUUGAGGCAGGAGUUACCAAGUAACUGUUGCACAUAUUUUCAUAUGUGACAACAAAAGGGAAUAAUAUUUUUCAUGGAACAUCUCAACAAAGGUUAUAGGAAAUAUAGGGUAAAAAUAAAUAAGCUGUAACUAUUGGCAUUUAUAUAACACUUUGUGGGAGCAAUUCUGUGCACAAGAAUCUGGUGUAAAGCAAGCUGGUGUAAAUUAAGCUAGCAUAAAGUUACACCAGAUCCAAAUGCUAUUCAGCAGUAGAGCUGCUGUUCUGCCUAAGCCUGGCAAAGGGAAAACAAGCCUUUAAAAAUGUUGCGUGUUGGGUUGCCACCUAAACAUUAGGAAGAACUUCCUGACAGUAAGAGCUGUUCGACAGUGGAAUUUGCUGCCAAGGAGUGUGGUGGAGUCUCCUUCUUUGGAGGUCUUUAAGCAGAGGCUUGACAACCAUAUGUCAGGAGUGCUCUGAUGGUGUUUCCUGCUUGGCAGGGGGUUGGACUUGAUGGCCCUUGUGGUCUCUUCCAACUCUAUGAUUCUAUGGUCACAUGACCAAGCUGAGUGUGAAAUCAGUCAGCUGAGACAGAGAUCUACUGCAGCCUAAGCUCAUCCUCCUGGUGGAUCUUGCCUUAGGAUUGUCCUCUAUGCGUAUGAAAUGUGUUAGGAUUUUUGUCUCAUUUAGUCCCACAACAACCAUGUGAAGUACUGGUAGUUUAUGUUGGCUGUGAGAUAGUUUGAUAAUUAAACAAAAGGCACUCAUUGAAUUUUAUAACAAAAACUGCAACAGAAAAUCCUGAUUUGGAUUGUGGCCAUGGUAUAGCAGUAUAUUAUUAAUAAUAAUACCAUGGUGUAUGUAUGUGUAAGCCUUUCCCCUGUGCUGUGGCCCCUGUCCAAAUCAAUAUUGUCUGUUUCCUCCUCUGUGACUAACAUCAGUAACAGUAGCCAAUGUAGACUGGAGCCUCAGCAUAAGGGAAGGCUAUUGCCUAAAAUGAUGAUUUUGAAAGGAUUCUAUUUACUUACUAACAUUGUUAUAUAUGCCAAGUACUUCCUCUGUGUAUUUUUCAGCCACGGGCACAUUCUUACGGCUUUCUUACUGCUUGAAUACUAAGAAGUAUAUCAGAUUGCAGCACAGAGCAGAAAACUGAAUUAAAGGGUAAUGUAAUUUUAAUUUUCAUGCAUUCUGACUAAUCUGUUGCAAUUAAGGGCAUAAUUAAAAUCUAAUUAUAUAAAAUUUAUUCCUAUACUUUAAAUGCUUUAUUUUUCACUGUACCAUUUUGGAGUGCUAUAUUAGUAUUCCAAGCAUUUGUGCUUCUAAUUAUUUUCAUACAAUUACUUCGGUAAAAUGAAACCUAUGUGUUACAUUCAAACAGUUGUUCAUAUAAAAGCCUGAAGUACAUGGUGUAGUUAUACUACAUUCUAGCAGCCAUAUAUUCCAGAAGUAAUGAAGGUACAUAUAUCUAAGUAAUGACUCUUAAUUUCAGGGUUGUGGGUUCAAGCCCCAUGUAGGGCAAAAGAUUCCUACAUUGCAGAGGGUUGGACUUGAUUAUCCUUUUCUUCCCUCCCAACUCUUCAAUUCUAUGAUUCUAUACUAGGAAUUUCUAUGAUCUCUUUUAGUUUUAGCAAUGUUAGAGCCUUAGAAACUCCAAGACCAUUUACUAGUGUCAUAAAAAGGUAAAGGUAAAGGGACCCCUGGCCAUUAGCUCCAGUCUGACCGACUCUGGGGUUGUGGCGCUCAUCUCACUUUAUUGGCCGAGGGAGCCGGCAUAUAGCUUCCGGGUCAUGUGGCCAGCAUGACUAAGCCACUUCUGGCGAACCAGAGCAGCGUACAGAAAUGCUGUUUACCUUCCCGCCGGAGCGGCACCUAUUUAUCUACUUGCACUUUGACGUGCUUUCGAACUGCUAGGUGGGCAGGAGCAGGGACUGAGCAACGGGAGCUCGCCCCAUUGUGGGGAUUCGAACCGCCGAACUUCUGAUUGGCAAGUCCUAGGCUCUGUGAUUUAACCCACAGUGCCACCCGCGUUUGCUGUAAUUUAGCAAUGUCAAUGCAGGCAGUGGGAUCUGCCCUAUAUCUUCUGCUGUGAAGACAGAUGCAAAUCAUUCAUUUAGAUUCUCUGCAAUCUCUUUAUCAUCUUUUAGCACAGCUUUCACUCUCUUGCCAUCCCAUGGAAUGCAAAGUACCAGCCUCCAGCUGCUCCAGCCUCUUCAUUUCCUUGGCAUUUUUUAAAGGAACUGUAAGGGUGGGCGCAGUUGAAAGGGCACACACUAGGCAGGUGCCAAACUGGUUUCAGGGGCAUAUCUAACAUGUAGGCUUUGUCUGAUGUAUGCUCAUGGCUUCAUCUCUCUCAACUGCUACAUAUAGCAGUUAUUUUCUAUUGCUAUUUUAUUCCCCUCUGACCACCUAUAAUUAAUUUCUUUUCAUUUGCUUUGUGUUAGCCCUCUCUUCUCAAAGCCGUGUUCUCAUUUAUUGAUUUUGCGGGCCUAUUAUAUUUAUAAAGAAAGACUACACAAUGUAAAAGUGACAACAUUAAGAUUAGGGUGGUUUUUUUUAAUACCUACCUAUGUAUCUUGAACAUGCAGUGGGUUAUCAAGAUAGAAGUGUAAUUGUACAUUUUUCUUCUUUGCCAGCCAUCCUUCCAAAUUAGCUGACUUAAAAGUAAACUAUAUGCUGUAAUUUGCUGGGAAGGAAAUGAAAUGGGUAGUCUGACUUUUGUUCCAUUUAGUUUUGAUUAAGCAUGGCAAUGUAGUCCCAGGUGAUUGAAAAAUAAUUAUCCAAUUUCUGGCUGCACGCUCAGAGCAAUACUCAGGUUUUCAGUGUUCAUACUGGCAAUUUAGUUGCCAAAGGAUUUUGCCGUUUAUGAUUUAAUUAAAGAUCUCUAAGCUGUACUCUGUUCUCAUUUAUAUUGGUACAAAACAUCUGGGCAGUGGAGUUCUCAGUGCAUAAAGCAGCAUCAGUAAAAGUGAACUAAAGCAAAAAUUCAGAGAACUUAAAGCAGUAUGUUUUGAAUUAUGGGGGCUGCAUGAUCUUGCGCUGCAGCAAAGAUGGCCUCCACUGUGCCGCUGCUUGUACCCGUGCAAGCUAGCUAGUACUUUGACAGCUCACCAGCCUAAGUCUGGGCUAUAAAACAAUUUGCAUUCAUGUUGCUACCCUUAACAGCAACAGUUAACAGACAGGUAAAGGCACUGAGCAGUUCUCAGGAUGCUGAUGACUUUUUUGAAGUAUGGCAUCCAUUUCUAACUUUCUCAAAUGAAAACAAUAUGGUCUGGCAUCCACCACAUACACAUGGCUGGCUAUUGAACAAUGCACUCCAUUGUUGAAACCAUCUUGUCCUACUUGAGUGUGUGCAAUUUGUUACUGUGUUGGAGGGAUUUAAUUUUGUAGCAUGUAUUUACUGAAACAUCUUUAAAACUAACACCCACCUACAGAUUGGUGGAUUGGGCUGGUCUCAAGUAACAUACUCCGGAGUUCACUUCUGAACCAAAUUCCAUUUUGGAGGAUGAGUAGUAGCCUAUCACAGGAUGUAUCUGUGUGUAGUAAAUGCUUUUUAAAGAU